CGCAGAAGCUGUUCAACAACCACACCAGAAAGAGACCAAGGAGAUCACCAAAAUACUCAACCUUAACCUCACUGUGAACACCAGCAAGAGUGAAGGGGUGGAUAGUAACAAAUCACCAAAACAUGCAAUUCAGUGCCAGACGUGGAGGUGAGCCGUGCACUGUACACAGCGUGAUGCCAAGUUCAAGAUCUUUUAUCAGCCUGGGAUCGGAGCCUAACACAGCUGAGCAGGUUGAUUCGUCACCACAAUUUUAAACUGCAAAAGAUGAAAGUCCCUGCUGCAAUUCCAGGUAAUGGCUUCCAGAGAGCUGAAGUUCAGAGAUAUUAGCAAAUAUACUUCCCAUGCCAAGGCCAGAAACUUUUUGAACUAAGGCGUAUGCUUCGACUGGUAAAACUUCUCAAAAUAUUUAUGACUUUGAAGGUGUCUUGUUCAUUAAAGAUAGUUUCCAUAACAGGCUCGUCAAACUGGGACAUGAUCAAUAGGCCUGUAAAUGUUUCAGCACUGGCUCUACAGAGCGUGUGAAUUAUUGAAAUGAUGGACUGAAAUACAAGCUCGGAGCAUGGAUGACUAUGUUGUGGAGGGAAAGGAGCAGUCAGCAUUAUGAAGAGCAGUCAUUCUACACCCCCAUGCGUAUAUGGACCUGACAGUGUUUCACAGUACUUCAAAAGCAAAUUUCUCUUUCAAGAUGUAUCUUCUCUGGUAGAGGGUCCGCAACCUUCUUGUCUAAGUGGAGAUGCUAUCUAUGCCUAUGGAGACAACAAGUACCUGACCCCCUCAAACCAGAAAAGUGAGGACUGGAGUUAAACGCUUUUGGAUGCAUUUCAUGCUUCACUGAUGCGGGAUGAAAACACAGGCAAUCUUCAAGAGAGCCAAGCUGUGGAGACGACUUAUUUAUCAAACCCGGCUUUGUGGAGAGGUGGAUCAGACUACAGCCCCCUAAAUCACCUGCAUGAAAACGGGAGGGAGAAAAGACGAAAUCACUUUAUUACAUGGUGCACAGGCAGAGAGGCACUGGAGCCAAGACUAAAACCAAAAAGGAAAAGAAAGAGAAAUGUGUGGUUAGGAAAAACGGAAAGCUCUCCUCCAAAAAUAGUAAGACAUGUUUUGUUUUUCAAAAUGAAUCGAAGUGAGGUAUACCAAAAAUAAUUACGUUUUUCCGGGUACUAAGAUAGAUUCGUUUCAUCGGAUUUUCUUUAACUCAACGACCCACUGAGUGCAAUUUUAACCAAAAAGGAGCCUACACCUGUUUAAGAAAUCCUAAAUGUCUAAAUGAGGGUUUGAUUGGAUGCCAAGGUCAAGUUCGAGCUUCCUUUUCUGAAUUUAAACAGAUAAAAGCUGCUUUGAAUCCUAAGCCUUCAUUAUGUGCAGCAGGAGGACUCGAACAAAGCUAAAUGGAACUUCCUCAACAAAGACAUCCCAGGACUAUUCAUGGAGGAACAAGCUGAAUUCGCCCCUCGCUGUGUGAAGUAUAGGGGGAUUGCAUGAAGCUCGGAGUGACCCAGACAAUGUAACAGGCACUUCACUACAAGACUGGCAGAUUCAAAAACAACCACAGAAAUGAAUAGGCUUUUAAGAGUAAGA